CUGUCCCCCAGCAAGUACUGACCCAACCCCAGAGACCUUUCCAAUCCUUUAUGCUGUACCCAAAUCCUGCUCUUGGCUCGGCCCGUGAGUUCAACCCACGGACAAAAACCUUUGGUCCACUUUAUCACCCUAUUGCUGUCUAAGAAGAUUACAAAGUUAAUGCCCCUUCCUACAUACUGAAUUGGCUGCAAUUGGAUAUGUGGCAUCUUUGCU